GCUAGCAUAGUAUAGUGGUUAGCAUACACACGUUGGCUACAUCAUGUGACAUUAUUGUAAAUCUUUUUAAGGUCCUGGGUUCAAUUCCCAGAGCUGCUA